CCUUAUCGGGGUCGGGGACCGUGCAUGGUAGGCAGUUUGACUGGGGCGGUCUCCUCCCAAAAGGUAACGGAGGAGCACGAAGGUUGGCUAGACACGGUCGGAAAUCGUGUUGAUAGUGCAAGGGCAUAAGCCAGCUUAACUGCGAGACCCACAAGUCGAGCAGAUGCGAAAGCAGGUCCUAGUGAUCCGGUGGUUCUGUAUGGAAGGGCCAUCGCUCAACGGAUAAAAGGUACUCUGGGGAUAACAGGCUGAUUCCGCCCAAGAGUUCACAUCGACGGCGGAGUUUGGCACCUCGAUGUCGGCUCAUCUCAUCCUGGGGCUGUAGCCGGUCCCAAGGGUAUGGCUGUUCGCCAUUUAAAGAGGUACGUGAGCUGGGUUCAAAACGUCGUGAGGACAGUUUGGUCCCUAUCUGCCGUGGGC
rnacentral:rRNA from 1 species